rnacentral:antisense_RNA from 1 species
UCAAGUGUUUUGUUUGUUUCCCUUGGAUAAAAGUGACUCCGAUUUUUAAUGGCUCCUCUCAAAGAUUAACAUCUCUUCACUAAAUACAGAAGAAUUCCAUAUGUAAUGAAUUUCCGGCCUCCAUGAAAACAAAAUGGACUCUUUCAUGCUGUCUCAACAUAUGAAUACAUUGCUCUGUCACCUGGGUGUUAUUACCGACUUAAAUCUGAAAGAAGCUGGACACGGCAGUGGUGUGUGGGUGCCUGCAGUCCUGAGGAGCUGGGACUGUUUCCCGAACAAUGCCUUUCCACCACACACGGUGGUUGUGAGGGCCAGCUGAGGCAAAGCCCUCAGGAAGACCACUUAAGCCCAGGAGUCCAGCCUGCGCAAGACACUUUUUUUAGGCUUCUGCCACCACAAAAUGUUACUUGGAAAACUAGAUCCCAGCAGAUGACCUGUACUUCUCUGCUCUCUCCCCUACUGCAAAGAGGCAGCGAGUGCAGCAUUAGUAAGCCUGACUCAGGGGAAGGUAAGUGGCCUGCAGAGAAAUGGUCCUAGGUCCGCAACUGAGGCGAGUGAACUUGUCGGACAGAUGAAGACUCUAACUGGAAGAAACAAUCAGCGCAUUCACGGAUGCACCACCAUCCAGAAAUCUCCCGGUGGCUUCCAUACAAAAACUGAUGUUUCUAAAGAUGGAAAGAACAGGUCUAGGAGGCAGAAGAGUAUCUCCUAGCAAAGUGUUCUGUAGCUCAAAGGGCAGUCAGGAGCACGUCUUUGAAUUCCUCGCAGACGAUGUAUCCAUCAGUCCUGUGGGGACACAACGCGAUGUCAACCCUCGAACCUGCUGCCUGCUCUGCCUCUCCUCCCUCCCCAGUUUGCGGAAGACAGUGGGCCACAUCUGAGCACUAGGGGGUCCUGAAGGAUGUCGCGGGUCAGCCAGUGUCCCACACCCUCCGUGCAGAAGGCAGG